ACUGCCUUGGAGCAGACACUCGCCUUCGGAUGCUGGAUUUUGGGGGAAGGAGAAAAGAGAAAAAAACAAAGCAGCACGCCUGAGAGGUCACCCAUAGUUUUCCUCUGAUGCACGUUGGGAGCCCUUAAGGAGGAUGUCUGCUCUCCCCACAACAUCUCCAAGCACCUUGGGAAGAAGUGGCAAUACCGAGAAAUACAGAGGAGCAGUAAGGAAAUAUUUCCAUCUCUUCUGAGUCCUGAUUGCCCUCUGGAUGGGGUUCUGGUGGCACGGGAUAAUCAGCAAAUAUUUCUACUGUUUUAAUUAUUGAGAACGAAUCAUUAAUUAGAAUGAUGGUGCUGGCAUCCAGCUGGAGGACUUCCUGGUUUUCCUCACUUCCAGAUCUGCCGAAGAAGUAAGCUGGUGCGUAGGGCCCCUUGGAGUGACACUGAGAUGUCUGAUGGCAUUGCCUGCUGUGCACAGCAGCGAGGUUGCUCGGAACCAGCCCAGAACCUGGCCCAGCAUGGUUUUCAUGGCACAGAAGGUUUUGAAUCAGCUUUCCCCCCCCUAACCUUCUGCAAAGACUGGAAAAGCAGUGCCCAAAGUGCGUGCUCCCUCCAAGCAGCGGUGGUAAUUUCCCAGCUGUGUGUAGAGCUCGCUCCGUGCUCUGCUUUGUGGUGGUGCUCCCCAGCCAUGCUAUUCCUACCGCUUCACUGCACGACGUAAAUGUGGGAGAUUUCAGGCUCGGAGAUGUACUGAAUCACAUGGAAGUGUUUCCCAGGCUGAAGCUAUAAAAAUAAUUACACUGCUAGCAGGAAGGAGUGACAAGAAAUGUCCCCAAAAGAGAUUUAAUCUGGGGCCACAGGAUCUGUCUCAUCGCUGCUGCGAUCUGCAAGUCUGAUGUAUUACCACUACCUCUGACUAUGAAACAAGCCCAGCAAGCACUGAAAGGGGAAUGCAAAGAGAGGUAUUCGGGAAGCACUGCAGUCCCUUCCCUUUUGUUUUAAUGAUGAAGGUCUGCCCGCUCUUAACAUCAGAGAUACUCUGCGCAGAGUGAGGACAACUGAUUUGGAGACAAAUGAGGACCACUUAGCAACAAUGCCUGCCUUUACUGCUUCCUCAGUGACCCUCCGGGCACAUCUCUCCUGAUAAGAUGGACAGCACUGCACUGGCUCCAGUGCAUUAAAAUAUGCCUUCACCGUUCCUCGUAGCAAUCCUUCAGUUUUAAUCCAACACAUCUCUCUGCUACGCCUGUCUCUAACUCUUUAUGAUCAAUAAUUAAUUUAUGUGGCCGGUUUGCCUUCAAUUUGUCUGCUCAAUGGAGGAUUUUCCUCGCAUCCUCUCUUUCCUGGGGCUCUGAAUUCGAGCGCUUUCUGGCUGACUGCUGUGUGUUUGCUGUUCGCUGCCCAACAGAUUUAUUCUUUCCCAAGAAAUGACACGAACAUAAACAGGAGACCCAAAAUGCAUUUUGCUGAGCUUUUAAAUGCACUG
rnacentral:lncRNA from 7 species